UACGAAGGGGGCUAGCGUUGCUCGGAAUCACUGGGCGUAAAGGGUGCGUAGGCGGUCUUUAAGUCAGGGUGAAAUCCUGGAGCUCAACUCCAGAACUGCCUUUGAUACUGAAGAUCUUGAGUUCGGGAGAGGUGAGUGGAACUGCGAGUGUAGAGGUGAAAAUUCGUAGAUAUUCGCAAGAACACCAGUGGCGAAGGCGGCUCACUGGCCCGAUACUGACGCUGAGGCACGAAAGCGUGGG
rnacentral:rRNA from 1 species